rnacentral:misc_RNA from 1 species
AACUGAAUGCAGAGGAAAUGGUCCAUUCAAAGUGUUGGAAAAGAUUAAUGACAAUGCUUACAAAAUCGAUUUGCCAGGUGAUUAUAAUGUUAGUGCAACAUUUAAUGUUUCUGAUUUGUCCCCUUUUGAUGAUGCAGAUUUACUUUCAAGGGCGAAUGCUUUUGAGGAGAGGGAAAAUGAUGCAAGAUCAAAGGCAAAUCCAAUGGACCAUGCACAAGAGGAGGUUCAGCCAGCCCAUUAUGAAGCUUUGAAUGUUUCCCAAUAAUAAACAAUGGGCCAAUCACAAGAUGUAUGCAUAAAACCAUGUUACAUGCCAACUUGUGCCGAAUUCAACUAAGAGCUUAAAAGACCAGCAAACAUAGAUGGAUGAAGGCAUAAACCAGCCCAAGUUAAUUAAUUUAAUUAAGCCUUUUUGGGCCUAAUACAUAAGCAAGUUUGUUGGUGGGCCAAUGGACCAUGACUUGUAAUUUGUUGGUGGGUCAAUAGACAAAGACUUAUAACCUAGUUAGGAUUGUUUUCUUUAAUUACUUAAUUUGCUAAUGCCAAAUUCCCUUGGGAAUUAAUGUCAAUUAGGACUCUUUAAGUUAUGAUUAGUUUUGCAAGUCUCCUCAAUCUUUUAGGACUUUGUUCUGGUUGGUUUGACUUAACCAACUUAGAUAGGAAUUACUUUAUCAUUAGGACUCUUUGUAAAGGGGAAAAUCUGAAUUCUAAACCCCUAUAAAUAUGCUCAGUCGAACUCUAUAAACAUCAGAUUUGAGAAUUAAGUUUUUUCUUUAAUAAAUUUCAAAUUAAAG